UACGGGGGGGGCAAGCGUUGUUCGGAAUUACUGGGCGUAAAGGGCUCGUAGGCGGCCAACUAAGUCGGACGUGAAAUCCCCAGGCUCAACCUGGGAACUGCGUCCGAUACUGGAUGGCUUGAAUUCGGGAGAGGGAUGCAGAAUUCCAGGUGUAGCGGUGAAAUGCGUAGAUAUCUGGAGGAAUACCGGUGGCUAAGGCGGCAUCCUGGACCGAGAUUGACGCUGAGGAGCGAAAGCUAGGGGAGCAAACGGG
rnacentral:rRNA from 1 species